UGGGAACCUGCCCUGUGGUACGGAACAACUCCGGGAAACUGGAGCUAAUACCGUAUGCGUCCUUUGGGACAAAGAUUGCAUCGCCAUGGGAUGGGCCCGCGUAGGAUUAGCUAGUUGGCGGGGUAACGGCCCACCAAGGCUUCGAUCCUUAGCUGGUCUGAGAGGAUGAUCAGCCACACUGGGACUGAGACACGGCCUAGACUCCUACGGGA
rnacentral:rRNA from 1 species